rnacentral:rRNA from 1 species
AAUCAACGCUGGCGGCGUGCCUAACACAUGCAAGUCGAACGCGAAAGUCCCGCAAGGGAUCAGUAGAGUGGCAAACGGGUGAGUAACACGUGGGUGACCUGCCUUCGAGCGGGGGAUAACGUCCCGAAAGGGACGCUAAUACCGCAUGACAUCCUGCUCUUGAACGAGUGGAGAUCAAAGCUGGGGAUCGCAAGACCUAG